rnacentral:rRNA from 1 species
GUCUACGGCCAUGCCACCCUGAACAAAACUGAUCCCGUCUGACCUCAGAAGCUAAGCAGGGUUGGGCCUGGUUAGUACUUGGAUGGGAGACCACCUAGGAAGACCAGGUGCUAUAGGUG